CAUAACACCCUGUGGUGGCUGGGAGAUGGGGAGCAACAGCUUGAGCCCCAUUGCUAAGUUCAGCCAUGCCAAGAAUUUCUAUUUUAGUGUAAAGCAUUUUCACUAAGCAAUUAUUUGGAAAAUUUCAGCUUCAGUUACAACACUACCAAAAAAUGACCUGCAGCACCUCAAGAAGUGGGAUAGGGUCAGUACUCCAGCAGGGCAAGAGCAUAGCCAAGGAAAGGAAGAAGGAAAUAGGACGCUUUGUCCCUGCAGACCUUGGCUUUAAUCCACUUCAGCAUGAUGGCUACCUGUUCUCCAGUAUAUCUAAACAUUGAUUCCAGAGGGAGAGAGCAUGAUAAAGGAAUGAGGAGAGGAGAGGAUAGGAUUAAAGUUAUCAAUACAUUCCCCAAUCUCCCCCGUACUUUGAGAUCCUGUCUGACAUUACUGCAAGUUAACAUCUUUAAACUGAGGCCAGUGAGCCAGGGCCAGUGGAUAAGUCAUGUGAAGCAGUGCUGUAAAUCCAUGAUCUCUGAGCCUGUCUGUGAAGGAAAGUACUGCAGAAAUUGCAUGGAGGCUUUGGGAUAUAACAGGUCUGCACAAGAAAAGGGGUAGUGGAGAGGCUCUAUCUCACACUAGAAAACCUGGCUACAUUUUUAGCCAUUCCUUUGUAGGAUCUGAGUGCCUGAACUUUAAUUCCCCAUGUCACUUUAACACAGAGCAAUGCAUCUUCACCAUCCAUCUUCCACAUCACCAUCACCACAGCACAAAUGGGGCAAAUACACUAACCUAAAUGACUCACUCAGUGUAUCAAGGAGGAGCUUGCUGAGAUGCAGCAAAGUAAAGCAGAAUCUGCCUGGAGCCCACAGUAAGCUUUCACCAAUAGGUCCUCUUACCUGAAAGGAUCUCAGUUAUUUAUUAUUAGUUACUGGCUGCAGUAUGUCAGGUACAGUAUGUAACAUCUCCUCCUUCUGGUCGGAUUCUGCACACCUGUUGUGCUCACUUUUAAUGUAAAUUCAGUUUUCUGGGCACAAAUUGGAAUCCUCGUUGUUUUUUCACUCUGAUUUCUCCUGUAGAACUCUCCAGAAAAGAGGCCGUAUCUUGAAGACUCGAGACCUUUUGAAGAUGGGAGGUGCCACUAAAAGAGUGAGAUCAUGGAUGCAAAUCCUUUCGUGUUGGAUGAAGCUCCACAGUGAGAGGCAUGGGGUCAGCAGUUUGAAAAGCCCUGAGAAGAUAGAAAACAUAUGCUCUGCCUUCUUUGUAUGUAUGUGGAUUUUUAAAAGGAGAGAAGCUACUCAAGGCACUGAAAAUAAUGACUUCUGGUGCCUAAGUGGAAGAUGGAAGCUAAACUCUGUCUAAUCAAGACUAUGAAGUGAGUAUGUGUGGGAAGAGAAGAGGAGGGAGAACUUCUUCUUACCAGGACACUUCAUACCAGGACACACAGGAGCUCCUGCAGCUCCUGUGCAGAAGCUAAUGUUCCAAUGUGCAGCUAGUACAGGUCCUUUUGGGUAAUCGGAUCCUCCAGCCAAUAAAGGAAAUGAGCUGCUGGUCCUAGCCCAUGACACCUUAGCUCUCUGGAUCCAUGUCCUUGCUCUUCCAAGGACUGAUGGAUUCAUGUGAAGCUCUGGUCAUGUCUCAUCAGUCUUUCCAUCACUGAUGCUCCCCAGUUCCCAGCAUUCUGACCUAAGUUGUGCAUGCCCUGGGGCUCCUGCAUGGGUGAGAGUUUUAGUAUGUGGCGUGGAAGGCCAGGAAAGUUGGCCCCAUAUAAUUCAUGGUGAAAGCCUUCAAGGCCAACCCUUUUCUACACCUGUCUUCAUACUUCUUUGCCUUUCAUUAAUUGCACUUUAUUAAUUGCUUUUCUUAUGUUGGAGGCAUAGGGGAGAAAGAUGCAAGUGAAAUGCUUCCCAUGGAAGGAAGAAGGGUCUCAAAGUUGCCCCAUGAGAUGAAUCACUUCUCUUACUCCAAAAUUCAGGAAGAAACAGUGAGGACAUUGUAGCAGGUGCUGAGCCUACUGCAGGGGCCGAGUCCCUCCUAAUUAGCUCACCUCUCAAGAACUUAUCUCCUGACUGGAUCAGACCUUCAGACUACACAAGAGGAAAACUGUUGAAAGGAGGAAGUGGGUGAGGAGGAUGUGUUUCUUACUUUUUCUCAGAGGCAACUCCAUAAAUCUCCACAUAUUAAGGUCUUCCAUAUGCUGUUUUUCAAUAUCAGCUUGUCACUUCAAGCUGUCUGACGUGAACUGUUGGAUGCAUCUGCUCUUGUCUCCAGGACUCAUUCACAUCCCACCCAGAUGCCAGAAAAGGUUGAAAAGAACAGUAGAAAAUGCAAAAGAUGACAGUUUGGAUCAUAGAUGUUUUCCAGAGUUGCAACCUAUUGACCCAUUUUCAACAGGCUCAGUGGCAUAGCCUAUAUAUCAAGAUCAGUGAACAUCAUCAGAAGGAAAAGGACUGUCUGAAACAAAAAAAAUAAAACCAGUCUCCCGGUGUAGCUGAAGCAGCCAAAUACUGCCUUCCUCAGCUCUCCCAGAACUUCCUGGAUAUCUAGCAUCCAUCCAGCACUUGAAGAUUUCUGACUCAUUUCACAACAGAGUUCAGCAGGGCACUGGCAUCUAUUAUCAGAGAUUUUAUUAUUAUUUUUUUUAGGGAAAAAAUAUGAACUCAUAUGGACCUAUGAACUGUUCUGCUCUUACUAAUAUAUCCCUUGUUACCUGUACACACUCAAGUGCAAGAGAUGCAGAAGCAGGCAGGAACAGAGCCAGCAAUGAGAGAAAAGUAGCAUUGCAGACCUGAAGUGAGCUGAGACUUCCACUUAAAUCUCAGUGGCACAGGUCUCAGAAAGUUUGCAAGCUCGCAUCUGAAGCUCAGCUUUGCAGCUGAUUCUGCUCUUUACAGGAUACAAAGAAUUGCUAAAUCCUAGAUCCUAAAAUUGAGCUUUAGCUCUCCUUCUGGAUGCCAGUCCACAGCUUGGAUUCAUACAAGCUCUUGGGGAUUGGGGUAGACCACUGGAGGUGCAAAUACCUCAUUGUUUACAAGCACUGGGAACCAGCAAAGCAACUUUUUUUUUUUUUUUAAUGUUUUUUCCAGUCUGCUGGCUUUCUGGAUAUAGACAUUUAAAAUGAGUGCUGUGGGAUUCAUUGCCACAGGUUACUCUGGAAAUCAAAAGCAGAAGUGGCUUAAAAAUCAGAAGUGGCUGACCCAUAAGUUUUGGGAGAACAAGUCCACUGGUAAUUAAUGCAACAGUCUAACUCCAGCCUCCAGCUUGAAAGGUUCCUAAACAAGUGAUUGCUGAGAUAAUAUCAUCAGCAAAUACUACCUUAUAUGUGACCUGAUUUUAUACUCUCCCUUUACACAUACACUAUGGGUCAUAUUGGUGAGUGUCCUGGAAGAGAUGGCUCAUCUUAUCUGAAACUUGGAGAAAACUGGAGAAGAAAAGUGCAAUAUCACUUCUUUUUUACCCUUUAAAACAACCUCCCUGAAGAAGCUUGAUUCAAAUUGGGAGCUAGUCAAGUUCAAACUGGAAAGUUAGGGAAAAUUCUAACUUCCUCCAAAGAGCUGUAUGUAGGGUUAGAGAAAAAAUCCAAACAAACAUAGCCUUCCACAGGGUUUUGUUGCCUUGGUACUCUCCUGGGAGCAUUGCUGUGAUAUUUGAGAACAUAUAGCCCCUGCAGCUAAGAUCCAGCUGUGGAAGUGAUGAUAUGCAGUAGUGACUAGGAAUAACAGUGAACCAGGCUUCAGUGACCCAGCUGCCUCUCCUAGUCCUCACUUCUUUGUUUGCCUACUACAAUAAUAAUGAGAUAUUUCCAUUCAAUACCAAUGGGGUGUAUGGAGGCUGUCAUGGGGCUUGUACAUGGGUAUAGAUGUAUAUUUCAAAUAAAGUUUUCUGGGCUGA